rnacentral:piRNA from 1 species
UAAUAUUCUUUCUUUAUUUAGUGCAUUUG